rnacentral:lncRNA from 1 species
CUAAGGUGUAUGUAAACUUCCGACUGUUGAUCUUAUUUGAAUUUUCUUUCUCUCCACAUUUUAUAGAUCAACGACAUACAAAUGUGUUGGCGGAUUACAGGUGUAUGUUCAGUACAACCACAAUCAAAGUAAGUGCAGAAAACAUUUUCUCAAUAUUGUAAUAUUGUAAUUGUACUGUAUGAUGUUCUACUGGAAACCUGCCGUUAUCUAUGUAAGUGGUAUAUGUAAUAAAGCGCACAUCUCCCUCCAAAGCGACACCCCCAGUUGCGAGCCCGCUUUGAGAAGAUUCUGUAGGAGCUGACCCACUUCACUCCUCGCUACAAGGAGAUAGUCUAUCUUUGACCACAGGAGUAGAGUUAAAGGAUCAGCAAUAAUCCGCAAUGGAUGUUGUCAACAGUGAGAGGUAGGCUACACCUGCAGUCAGACUUUUGCUAGGAGGGUGUGUGUGGAUGUGGGUGGUCCUUCUUUAUCUCAUCUCUCACUGAUCAUUUCUGCCCUAAUCUCUCAUUCCCUCUCUCUCAUUCUCUUUCCAAGAGUGAAGUCUGUGUAUUAUCCAAAGCACUCUCAUGCCCAUCAUUGAGCAGGACAGAAUGCGCUUGUGGAAGAACACCCACAGAACGGGCAUGCUUACUGACUGGCCUCAGUUCCAGUCUAAGGGCUGGGAUGCAAGUGAGAUGUUUAACUAGUAGACAUACAGAAUCAAUUCCACCUAUGGCUUCCUCUCCGUGUACAUAGACACCUGCCUCAGAUGAAGGAGACUGAGGGCAACCCCCCAAUAACAUCAUCUUGUCUCACUGAAAAACAAUGGAGGCAAGACUGAGGAGUACAAGUGCAACACCAUGGUCCAA